rnacentral:rRNA from 1 species
CCUACGGGAGGCAGCAGUGGGGAAUAUUGCACAAUGGGGGAAACCCUGAUGCAGCGACGCCGCGUGAGUGAAGAAGUAAUUCGUUAUGUAAAGCUCUAUCAUCAGGGAAGAAAAUGACUGUACCUUAGUAAGAAGCCCCGGCUAACUACGUGCCAGCAGCCGCGGUAAUACGUAGGGGGCGAGCGUUAACCGGAUUUACGGGGUGUAACGGGAGCGUAGACGGUAGGGCAAGUCUGGAGUGAAAGGCGAGGGCUGAAGCCCCGGAGUGCUCUGGAAACUGUACGGCUGGAGUGCAGGAGAGGUAAGUGGAAUGCGUGGUGUAGCGGUGAAAUGCGUAGAUAUUAGGAAGAACACCAGUGGCGAAGGCGGCUUACUGGACUGUAACUGACGUUGAGGCUCGAAAGCGUGGGGAGCAAACAGGAUUAGAUACCCGAGUAGUC